rnacentral:sRNA from 1 species
GCUCAGUAGGGCCAGCCCUGAAGAUGACUCAGAGCUCAGUGCUGGACCCUUUGGUCGCCACAAAGAAACUGAACCCUGGCCGAAUAAAGGUGGACCUUUACCAAGGAGCUCAUGGCUUUCAUCGUGCCCUCUCCAGAUGCCUUCAGCUAAGGAGGAAUCGGAGAAACAGGGCAGCCCACAGAGACCUGCUCCGAGGGCUGCCAUAACGAAAUGCUGCACACUAGGGGUCUUAAGCAACAGAUGUUUGUUAUUCCAAGGCUUGAAGCUCAAGGUCAGUGUGCUGAUGCCACGUGACCCACAUCCCCAAACUCUGCUUCUGUGCCUCCCCAACCAUGAUGGAUAAUAACCUAAAACUCUAAUCAGCAGAAAAAGAAAAGAAGACACCAUGCAUUGGAACCAUUUCUGUGGCUGUGGUAAAGCACAUGACCACAGGUAACUUAGAGAGGAAGUGUAUUUGGGUUUACCAAUCCAGAGAGAUAAGAGUGCAUCGUGGCAGGUAAGCCUGGCACAAGUGACAGACUUGGUGGUGGGGAGAGGAAGAUGGAAACACAUACAUUCAAGCCACAGGAGGAAACAGCAGUAGUGAACUGGCAGUGGAACAAGGCAUUAAAGUCAAAAAGCCAGCCACCAGGGAUAUACUUCUUUCUACCAUCUAAGCACCCUCCGCCCCUCCGCAACUCUGACCCACACAGCACC